rnacentral:rRNA from 1 species
CAUACGGCUCAGUAACACGUAGUCAACCUGCCCUGGAGACGCGGACAAACCCGGGAAACUGGGGCCUAUCCGCGAUAGAUGACCUCAUCUGGAAGGAGAGGUCGUCCAAAAGGACGCACGGGUAUGCUCUGUGCGGACCGCUCCAGGAUGGGACUGCGGCCGAUCAGGCUGUUGGCGGGGUAAUGGCCCACCAAACCUGUAACCGGUACGGGCUUUGAGAGAAGGAGCCCGGAGAUGGACACUGAGACAAGGGUCCAGGCCCUACGGGGCGCAUCAGGCGCGAAAACUUCGCAAUGCGCGAAAGCGUGACGAGGCUAGUCCGAGUGCUCCCUGCUAAAGGGAGCUUUUCUCGGCUGUAAAUAGGCCGGGGAAUAAGGGGAGGGCAAGUCUGGUGUCAGCCGCCGCGGUAAUACCAGCUCCUCGAGUGGUCGGGACGAUUAUUGGGCCUAAAGCACCCGUAGCCGGUUCCGUAAGUCCUCUGUUAAAUCCAGUCGCUCAACGGCUGGUCUGCAGAGGAUGCUGCAGGAAUAUGAGGCGGGAGACGCGGAUGUUCCCCCGAGUGAAGGGGUAAAGUCC